CAAAGACAGAAGGACCAUCUUUAAGCUUCUCAACUCAAUCACCAUUGAAGGUAGGUAGAACUUUAUCUUAGUGUAUAGGAUGAUUUCUCACCAAAUUAAAAGCUUCACGUAGGUGAUAAGGUCGUUAGUUUCUAGGUAGAUUUCAUUUCAGUGGCCUCAAGCUCUCACACAGGCGUCGGAGUAUCCUCCAUCAACUAAGUACAACAAACCCGCCACAUUGACCAAUAACUGGUAAGAGCCUCACCCCUUUGUAUCGAAGAACCUCCUAUAUACCUGGAUCUGACCUUUCUUUUACUUUUUCUUAUUUAAUGGGUUGAACCCUUAUCGGAGUUAAUACCACCAUCAAAACAAAAUCCAGUAGCUGAAACGUCAGAUUUAACAAAGUCACCAACAAUACGACCACUGGUAAGCAUUUUGGGCUGAUGGUGUGGCUGUCUCCCCCCUUUUGGAGACUUCUCUGGAGUUUGCCUCUCAUCGUUGGAGUUGCUACUUCUGCUGACACAUUGGGAAAUGGCCUCAACUCAGGAUGUAACACCCUACAAGAAUACUCACUAUGACCUUGGAGAUUACACUCCCUACAAUAAUUUGGCAAAUAGUCGUAUUGAAUUUUAACAUUAUCUAUGCGAAUUGUUCUUGUCUUUUCAUUCAUGAUCUCCAUACGCACAAACUUCGGCAACUUAGAUGUCAAGUCCACCUGAACCUUGACCUUGCCACACCUAGGCCGAGUUUUAUUAAUUGUUGCCAAGUCUUAGUGCAAAGGCUUUCCUACUGCUGACGCUAACGAGAA